rnacentral:lncRNA from 1 species
UUCAUAUGGCAGACAGUCUUGGCCUUUCCAAAAAAUUGGCGCCCUUCAAGGAUAUAACAAGAAACACUAUUGUGUACUGAGGUCCAGUAAGAACAAGACUGAGCAUACUGCAUACACAAACAUGGGAAGCAGCAGAGAUGGAAAUUUAAUGAAUGAUGAUCAAGAUCAGCACGCAAUUCAGACUCAGAACUAGAUUACUACAAUGCAACAACUCAGGUCCACGUUGAAGGAUGCGCAAGGAAAAAAUGCGCACCUUGUUCGCUGUGGGGAACAGCUCGGCUCACGCGGUGGCCCUACGCCCCAGGCUCAGAUGGUGGCCUCCACGACCACCCGCAGCCGCCGGAGGCCACCCAGCAUGAGCG